UUUCAGUAGUUCCCCUCCCAUAAGUGAGACUGAGACUUUUUUAGUUUCCUUGUUUGCUGCUUCUCUAGAAAUUGGAGAUAUAUGGGGGUUCACUCGUCUUGUUCUGUGCUACUGAAGUGUAACGCACCAGAACUGACUCAAGCCAAAGGCAGUAAUCAGAAAAAUGCAUAAAGGUAAACGAGUGUUUAAUACUUAGCUAGCACUACCAUUCUGAGUCAUCAAAAUCAAAGCCAUCACAAGGGAAAAGCUAGAUACCAGGUGAGUCAGUUAUUGUUUCAAAAUCAGCAAGCUCUUCACUCCACAACUCCAGCUUUUGCCUGCACCACAAAGAAGUACACCACGUCUGCCAUAAUUCAAGGAAAACAUAGCUAGCUCUACCAAACUGAUUCAGGAAAAUAGAGCUCUCCAAAAGCAAAAGCUAGAUGAUGCAAGACAAAUUCUCUCAACGACAACAACAAAACAAGUCAACAACAACAACGGAUAAAACCUCUGUGAUGAACAUAAGAGGACGUUGUUUUCAGGACGUCUUCAACUCUCAUCUGAGUUGACGAGAAACUCUACAACCAGAAAAAGAUUCUUUGAAACAGCUCUCUACAAAAAACAACUCAUCACCAGGGAGAAGAAGCUUAAUCGUUGAGGCUAAGACUCCAUGUUGUUCGAACAAAUGAUGGAGAUUCAGUUUCUUCUCAUUAAUGUUAGGGAUGAUGCUGAAUUAUCACCCAAACGGUGGAAAUCCCCUCUUCUUGCACUGUGCUACUCGACAAGGCACCAGAAUUCAAAGCAAGACCC